AUUGAACGCUGGCGGCAGGCCUAAUACAUGCAAGUCGAACGGUAACAUAAAAGAAGCUUGCUUCUUUUGAUGACGAGUGGCGGACGGGUGAGUAAUAUUUGGGAAACUACCUGAUAGAGGGGGACAACAGUUGGAAACGACUGCUAAUACCGCAUAUAGCCUAAGGGUGAAAGCAGCAAUGCGCUAUCAGAUGUGCCCAAACGGGAUUAGCUAGUAGGUGAGGUAAAGGCUCACCUAGGCGACGAUCUCUAGCUGGUCUGAGAGGAUGAUCAGCCACAUUGGGACUGAGACACGGCCCAGACUCCUACGGGAGGCAGCAGUAGGGAAUAUUGCACAAUGGAGGAAACUCUGAUGCAGCCAUGCCGCGUGUGUGAAGAAGGCCUUCGGGUUGUAAAGCACUUUCGGAGGGGAGGAAAAGAUGACGUUACCCUCAGAAGAAGCACCGGCUAACUCCGUG
rnacentral:rRNA from 1 species